rnacentral:rRNA from 1 species
ACAGGGAUUGCCCUAGUAACGGCGAGUGAAGCGGCAACAGCUCAAAUUUGAAAUCUGGCGCAAGCCCGAGUUGUAAUUUGUAGAGGAUGCUUCAGGGCAGCGGCCGGUCUAAGUUCCUUGGAACAGGACGUCAUAGAGGGUGAGAAUCCCGUAUGCGACCGGUUGGCACCCGUCACGUAGCUCCUUCGACGAGUCGAGUUGUUUGGGAAUGCAGCUCUAAAUGGGAGGUAAAUUCCUUCUAAAGCUAAAUACCGGCCAGAGACCGAUAGCGCACAAGUAGAGUGAUCGAAAGAUGAAAAGCACUUUGGAAAGAGAGUUAAAAAGCACGUGAAAUUGUUGAAAGGGAAGCGCAUGCAACCAGACUCGUCGGCGGUGUUCCGCCGGUCUUUUGACCGGUCUACUCGCCGCCGGCGGGCCAGCAUCACUUGGGGGCGCCGGAUAAAGGCGCGGGGAAUGUGGCUCCUCGGAGUGUUAUAGCCCCGCGCACAAUACGGCGAUCCUCGAGUGAGGUCCGCGCUUCGGCUAGGAUGCUGGCGUAAUGGUUGUUUGCGGCCCGUCUUGAAACACGGACCAAGGAGUCUACCAUCUAUGCGAGUGUUCGGGUGUCAAACCCCUACGCGUAAUGAAAGUGAACGGAGGUGGGAACCGCAAGGUGCACCAUCGACCGAUCCUGAUGUCUUCGGAUGGAUUUGAGUAAGAGCAUAGCUGGUGGGACCCGAAAGAUGGUGAACUAUGCCUGAAUAGGGUGAAGCCAGAGGAAACUCUGGUGGAGGCUCGCAGCGGUUCUGACGUGCAAAUCGAUCGUCAAAUUUGGGUAUAGGGGCGAAAGACUAAUCGAACCAUUAACUACUAGGUGGUUGAGAGAGCCUCGAGCUCUAGUCCGGCCGAUGGCCGGGCGACACCGUCAAAUUGCGGGAACUCCCUGAAGCCUCGGCUACCGCCCGGAUCCCGAAAGGGAUUGCGGGCACCUAGACUCACCUCUGGGGUACGGUAACAACGUCGACGGAUUGGGUGACCACGCAGCCAAGCCCUACGGCUCCUAGAGCACGGGCGCAGUUCACAGACUAGAUGGCGGUGGGCCUCCGGGUCUAAGAUAUAGUCGAUUCCCAGAGUCCGAAAGGA